UGAGAAGACUUUGUUGUCACAAGUCAGACAGGUGUCAUGAAGAGAAUGAACAAAAGCAAGCAGUGUCCAGAAAGGUUGCAGAGGGGAGUGAGAGAGAGGCUGUAGUAAGUACCUGGCAUGCAGCCAGGGUCAGCCCACUACAUAUGGCAGAUUGGUGAAAAGGAAGCUGCUUUAAGUCCAGAAGCCCUACUUUAGGUUCCAGUCAGAUGUCAUUGACCCUUGCUGAUAGAAGAGCUCUGGAACAGACAGAAGGCAGGUGAUGGAGGGAAUACUGCAUGUGAAGAUGGGCUACAGACUCACAGAUGUGUCAUGUGAAAGCUGUGUUCUCCAUAGCCAGAAUCCACUUCUGUAUUCAAUGGUGCAUUUUGGCAGCCUUUCUAGCUAUGGUUUCUUCUGAGGCAAAGGUAAAACUAGUGUUUGGUGACAACUAGGCUUUUGAUGCCCUUCUUUAGAUGUUUACAUGAGUGGCCUUCAUUUUCUAAGGCUCACAGCCCUAAAGAAUUUGGUGACCAAACACAGCCUUAUUUCUACCAAGUAUCUUUCAAUCCCAUAAAGGAGUUCCUGUUCCAAAAGAGUGGCCUCCAAAAAAUGACCAAUAUCAAAAGAAACAGCACAAGGUUCCUUUGAUUUCCCUCUUCUUUUAAGCCCAUAUCAGGGAGUAGAAAAAAAGAAGGCAAAGUUUUAUCUAAUCUCUGCAGCUCUCAGCAACAGGGAAACACUUGAAUCAAAUAAGGAGCAUGCCACAGGCCUGAAGGAGUUAAAUUGGUAAAAGUUUCAAGUGUCUGGAGGAAGCUAUUCCAGUCAGUUCUUCUUUAAAUUUGGUCACUGCUCAGGUACAGAUGUAGAAAAUUAGGCAUCCCAGUUUGAAUUUAAGAGGGAGCCAGAGUGAGUGGAGUGGGAUGAAUCCUCUGAUAGGCACUUGCUUCACUCUUCUGUCCCAAAAGAUACAACUCAUUCUGACACAAACUGGAACACACUUAUCUUACCUCAUGUACACGCAAAUUUAACUCACCUGAAAGUAAGCUACAUGAACAACAAAUGAUACUUUCCUCAAAGUAUUUGUCUUCUUCUUUUGCUUUUUUGAAUUUUGCUCUAAUAAAAAAGCGAAGAAUAUUUCAAACCAUACGUGUGUUGAAAGACUGUUGGAGCACGUUCAGAGGAGGACCACAAAAAUUGAUGAGGGAUAGUACAACCCUCCUAUGAGGAAUUACUUAAAUGAGUCUUAUAUGAAAAAUGGGGACAGACUCUUUAACAGAAACAGUAGCGAUAAAACAAAAACCAAACA